rnacentral:rRNA from 1 species
GGGGCAGAGAGACAGGUGGUGCAUGGUUGUCGUCAGCUCGUGUCGUGAGAUGUUGGGUUAAGUCCCGCAACGAGCGCAACCCUUAUACUUAGUUGCUAACAGGUAAGCUGAGCACUCUAAGUAGACUGCCGGUGACAAACCGGAGGAAGGUGGGGAUGACGUCAAAUCAUCAUGCCCCUUAUGUCCUGGGCUACACACGUGCUACAAUGGCCUGAACAGAGGGCAGCGAAGGAGUGAUCCGGAGCAAAUCCCUAAAAACAGGUCUCAGUUCGGAUUGUAGGCUGCAACUCGCCUACAUGAAGUCGGAGUUGCUAGUAAUCGCGAAUCAGCACGUCGCGGUGAAUACGUUCCCGGGCCUUGUACACACCGCCCGUCACACCACGAAAGUCUGCAACACCCGAAGCCGGUGG